AUUGAACGCUGGCGGCAUGCUUUACACAUGCAAGUCGAACGGUAACAGGGUGCUUGCACCGCUGACAAGUGGCGAACGGGUGAGUAAUGCGUCGGAACGUGCCGAGUAGUGGGGGAUAACGCAGCGAAAGUUGUGCUAAUACCGCAUACGUACUGAGGUAGAAAGUGGGGGACCUUCGGGCCUCACGCUAUUCGGGCGGCCGACGUCUGAUUAGCUAGUAGGUGAGGUAAAGGCUCACCUAGGCGACGAUCAGUAGCGGGUCUGAGAGGAUGAUCCGCCACACUGGGACUGAGACACGGCCCAGACUCCUACGGGAGGCAGCAGUGGGGAAUUUUGGACAAUGGGCGAAAGCCUGAUCCAGCCAUGCCGCGUGUCUGAAGAAGGCCUUCGGGUUGUAAAGGACUUUUGUCAGGGAGGAAAUCCCUAGUGCUAAUAACACUGGGGGAUGACAGUACCUGAAGAAUAAGCACCGGCUAACUACGUGCCAGCCGCCGCGGUAA
rnacentral:rRNA from 1 species